UUUGAAAGUGACAAUCUGAAAUUACAGUAUACGGUUUUACAAUCAGAAACACAAUACAAGAUGCUUCAAUCUAUUUUUCUAUUUAUGGUUUGGAUAUGUUUACAAAAUCUUUGUUGUGGAGCACCAACAUUAGACGCAAUUCCAAGGGAGGUGCUUGACUUCAUUCCAGCAGGUAGCGAGCACCAUUCUGAGUUCAAUGACCCCAUCGGAGAACUAUUCAAUAUGCAGGCUGCGAUGCUGUAUAGAUGUUGCUGGCAAAACCGGUUCAAAACAACAAGUUGAAAUAAAAGAUGAAGUUUAAAUAAAGUAUCAGUUAGAUUCUUUUUACCAUAGAUUAAUUAAAAUAACAGAUAGGACACUAGAUGUCGUCUUUUUAAGAUUUGGAGAAAACUAGUUCACAAUAACCUUGAGGCAGCAACCCAGAGGAGUAUCGCGCAGUCGGCGUAGAAUUACAAGACAUAGAGAGAGCCUGUUCUACGCCGAUUGCGCGAAAAUUCUCUGGGCUACUUUCUCAGGGUUAUUAUGAACGAGUUCAAUCCAAAUCUUGAAAAGACGACUGAUAGUGCCCUGUCUGUUGUUUUAAUUAAUCUAUGCUUUUUAUUAGUUUGUCCAUUCAAAACGUUCUUAUAUUCAAUAUUUUUGCCUUAGAUAGACCUUAGAUAUUUCAAGCGAUGAAUUUUUUUCGAUUAAAUAAUCUCAGUAUCAAAAAUCAAUAUCAGAUUUAAAGAUGUAAGGAA